rnacentral:lncRNA from 1 species
AGCAAACCUGAGUGUUUCUGUGCAAUGCAAAUUGCUUUGGCUUCCACACAGCUCCUGUCGCUUCAAGUGCGGAUGAGUGUUGCUGGAGAUGGCCACUGGAGAGGCUGAGUCAAAUCAAUCUCCUCACCUGAGGACUUCCUAAGACCAGCGCACUGAAGGACCAGCAGCAACAACAACAAUAAUGCUAAUGCUCCCUUAUGGUAAGACAAGACUGCAAUUCUCUGCCUGCUGAAGCUCAGCUAUGACCACGUGACUUGCCUUGGCCAAUGAAAGAGGAAGAGUAUGUAACACUGCUGAAUGGAAGCAAGUGGCCCCUGCCCCUGCUGCAGAGAUUCUAGACAUGUGUGCCAUGCUGGAGCAAGGAGACAGGGAGUCCUGGAGAAAGGAGACAUGGAACAGAGCUCCCAGCCCAGUCAAUAUGUAACAUGAGUGAGAAA